rnacentral:rRNA from 1 species
UACGGGGGGAGCAAGCGUUGUUCGGAUUUACUGGGCGUAAAGGGCGCGUAGGCGGUCAGCACAAGUCAGUUGUGAAAUCUCCGGGCUUAACUCGGAAAGGUCAACUGAUACUGUGCGACUAGAGUGCAGAAGGGGCAACUGGAAUUCUCGGUGUAGCGGUGAAAUGCGUAGAUAUCGAGAGGAACACCAGAGGCGAAGGCGGAUUGCUGGGCUGACACUGACGCUGAGGCGCGAAAGCUAGGGUAGCAAACGGG